UACGGAGGGUGCAAGCGUUAUCCGGAUUCACUGGGUUUAAAGGGUGCGUAGGCGGAUAGGUAAGUCCGUGGCGAAAUCCUGCAGCUUAACUGCAGAACUGCCGUGGAUACUAUCUAUCUUGAAUGUCGUGGAGGUUAGCGGAAUAUGUCAUGUAGCGGUGAAAUGCUUAGAUAUGACAUAGAACACCCAUUGCGAAGGCAGCUAACUACGCGAUAAUUGACGCUGAUGCACGAAAGCGUGGGGAUCAAACAGG
rnacentral:rRNA from 1 species